rnacentral:rRNA from 1 species
UACAGAGGUCUCAAGCGUUGUUCGGAUUUAUUGGGCGUAAAGGGCGCGUAGGCGGCGGGGUAAGUCGGAUGUGAAAGCUCGGAGCUCAACUCCGAAAUGGCAUUGGAAACUACCUUGCUCGAGGGUUGGAGGGGGGACUGGAAUUCUCGGUGUAGCAGUGAAAUGCGUAGAUAUCGAGAGGAACACCAGUGGCGAAGGCGAGUCCCUGGACAACUCCUGACACUGAGGCACGAAAGCUAGGGGAGCAAACAGG